rnacentral:misc_RNA from 1 species
AUUCGAGAAGGCUUAAGAGUGGGACUGAGAAACAGAGAUUUUUGCAAAUUCUGGAUGGAUUUAUGGAUAGGCAAUGAUACAUUGGAUAAACUUUUUCAUCUCUUUUUCCCAUUUCAUUACUUCAGUCUGUGGCGGUAAAUAAAAUGGGAGUGUGGAAUGGUGUGAACUGAUCCUGGUGUCUAUGCUGGAGAAGAAAUUUGCAAGAUUGGGAAUUUACUCAAAGAGAUGCCCUCCUUAAUUUUCUUAAAGAUGUUGUGAUCUAUCCUUUUAGCAAUGACAGAAUGAUUCGAGAAUUCAAUGCUAAUAGUGAUUACAACAUCAAAUCCGCUUGCUUGGCAAUGAUUCAACCCCAAACUUUAACAUCCUUUGAGUUUGUUGCAGGUGUUUGGAUGGGAUUAGCACCCCUAAAGGUGGAAGUCUUUAGUUGGCUUACCUUAUUGGGAAGAGUAUCAACCAGAGACCUGCUCUUGAAUAGAGGACUCUUUAGAGACAAGUCUCUUGUGGGAAAGCAGUUCGAGAUCUCAGGACCAUGGUAGAGCUCUGAGCAGCUGUUCACUAAUGACUCGACAAAGGCGCUCAAGGGAACCUGAAUCUGUCGACUGGAAGCAGAAUUUGGCUGUGCAGGGAAGAAAGAAAAGAAGAAGAAAGCCAAGAGUAUGCAAGAACAAAGAAGAAGCUGAGACUCAAAGAAUGACACACAUUGCUGUUGAGAGGAAUAGGCGAAAACAGAUGAAUGAAUAUCUGGCCGUUUUGAGAUCUCUCAUGCCUGAAUCUUAUGUUCAAAGGGGCGACCAGGCCUCCAUAGUAGGUGGUGCCAUAGAGUUUGUCAAGGAGUUAGAGCACCUCUUGCAUUCCCUUGAAGCUCAAAAGGUCCAACUACUACAUGGGUUGAAAGGACCCAGUGAAGAUACCAGCAUUAGCACUGGAACCUCUAAAUCCCAGUUUCCACCCCCUUUUGCACAAUUUUUUGUGUAUCCUCAGUACACUUGCUCUCAAAUGCCUAACAAGUAUACAUCCAAGGCUAAAGCAUCAAUAGCUGAUAUUGAGGUCACUUUGAUAGAAACCCAUGCAAAUCUUCGGAUUCUCUCAAGAAAAAGGCCAAGACAGCUCUUCAAGUUUGUUACUGGAUUUCAAACACUUUACCUUACCAUUCUUCACAUCAAUGUGACUACUAUGGACCCAUUGGUUCUCUAUUCAAUCAGUGCCAAGCUUGAAGAAGAAUGCCAACUCACUUCUGUGGAUGACAUAGCAGGAGCAGUACACCACAUGCUUAGAAAAAUUGAGGAAGAAACUACUCUAUUUUGAUAAGGCCAUUAGCUGCCCAAAAUGCCCUUUGGUUUGCGGAAAAAUCACCAGAGUAGCACCGACUUGUUAAUUUGUCUGUUGCAAUGAAGUUUAUGAUGUUCUUUUGUGCAGCCACAGAAUACACAUGAGCUGUGUUUGGUAAUUCCUCCUGGACUUAAGUUGUGGACUUGUUUAUAAGGGUGGGAACUAGAAGCUUGGUUUUUCCAACAGAAAAAUAGGACGGUAAAAGGCUUUAGUCUAUAUUUAUGUAGAGUACCUUACUCCCUAUUUCAAACCCUUUUCAUUUCAAAUCUGGAAUCUUACAGCUUAAAAGCCUCCUUCGUACAAUUAAUUGGCUAUUCUAA